rnacentral:rRNA from 1 species
GACGAACGCUUGCGGCGUGCUUAACACAUGCAAGUCGAACGGAAAGGCCCUGCUUUUGUGGGGUGCUCGAGUGGCGAACGGGUGAGUAACACGUGAGUAACCUGCCCUUGACUUUGUGAUAACUUCAGGAAACUGGGGCUAAUACCGGGUAGGAGCUCCUGCUGCAUGGUGGGGGUUGGAAAGUUUCGGCGGUUGGGGAUGGACUCGCGGCUUAUCAGCUUGUUGGUGGGGUUGUGGCUUACCAAGGCUUUGACGGGUAGCCGGCCUGAGAGGGUGACCGGCCACAUUGGGACUGAGAUACGGCCCAGACUCCUACGGGAGGCAGCAGUGGGGAAUAUUGCACAAUGGGCGGAAGCCUGAUGCAGCAACGCCGCGUGCGGGAUGACGGCCUUCGGGUUGUAAACCGCUUUCGCCUGUGACGAAGCGUGAGUGACGGUAAUGGGUAAAGAAGCACCGGCUAACUACGUG